AACCGAGGGCAAAUGGAGCAAUGUUUUAGUUUUGGUGAGGCACCACUUAAUGAUUUCACUACUUUAUUCUUUUGCAGGAAUUUCACAUAGAUCUUGUUGAUGGAUAUGUUCCACCCGAGUUUGUAACAGAUAAUGGCUUCUAUUUCUCGAACCCUGUGAAACAUUCUCUUGAUGGAUCCUUUCCAGCUUGUCUGUUACGGUCCUUGUAGAAUAGCAUAAUGAGUGCCUAACAGAAGGCUUUUGCAGGUGAUGCAUAACAUGGCCGAAGCAAAGUGAGUGGGUCAUCGUGAAGAUAUACUUGGGUCUACUGUUUGAGAAAUGCUUCAUGUCAUUA